GAUGAACGCUGGCGGCGUGCCUAAUACAUGCAAGUCGAGCGAACAGACGAGGAGCUUGCUCCUCUGACGUUAGCGGCGGACGGGUGAGUAACACGUGGAUAACCUACCUAUAAGACUGGGAUAACUUCGGGAAACCGGAGCUAAUACCGGAUAAUAUAUGGAACCGCAUGGUUCAAUAGUGAAAGACGGUUUUGCUGUCAUUUAUGGUUGACUCAGCGCCUCAUUAGUUGGUUGGUAAGGUAACGGCUUACCAAGACAAGGAAGCGUAGCCGACCUGAGAGGGUGAUCGCCCACACUGGAAGUGAGCCACGCUCCAGACUCCUACGGGAGGCAGCAGUAGGGAAUCUUCCGCAAUGGGCGAACGCCUGACGGAGCAACGCCGCGUGAGUGAUGAAGGUCUUCGGAUCGUAAAACUCUGUUAUUAGGGAGGAACAAAUGUGUAAGUAACUGUGCACGUCUUGACGGUACCUAAUCAGAAAGCCACGGCUAACUACGUG
rnacentral:rRNA from 1 species